rnacentral:rRNA from 1 species
AUUGAACGCUGGCGGCAGGCCUAACACAUGCAAGUCGAACGAGUGGCGGACGGGUGAGUAAUGUCUGGGAAACUGCCUGAUGGCGGGGGAUAACGACUGGAUACGGUAGCUAAUACCGCAUACCAUCGGAUGUGCCCAGAUGGGAUUAGCUAGUAGGUGGGGUAACGGCUCACCUGGACGACGAUCCCUAGCGGGUCUGAGAGGAUGACCAGCCACACUGGAACUGAGACACGGUCCAGACUCCUACGGGAGGAAGAAGUGGGGAAUAUUGCACAAUGGGCGCAAGUCUGAUACAGCCCUGCCGCGUGUGGGAAGAAGGCCUUCGGGUUGUAAAGCACUUGCAGCGGGGAGGCGUUACCCGCAGAAGAAGCACCGGCUAACUCCGUGCCAGCAGCCGCGGUAAUAC